rnacentral:rRNA from 1 species
UACGGAAGGCAGCAGUGGGGAAUAUUGCACAAUGGGCGCAAGCCUGAUGCAGCCAUGCCGCGUGUAUGAAGAAGGCCUUCGGGUUGUAAAGUACUUUCAGUCGUGAGGAAGGUGUUAAGGUUAAUAACCUUAGCAAUUGACGUUAGCGACAGAAGAAGCACCGGCUAACUCCGUGCCAGCAGCCGCGGUAAUACGGAGGGUGCGAGCGUUAAUCGGAAUUACUGGGCGUAAAGGGCACGCAGGCGGUUAAUUAAGUUGGAUGUGAAAUCCCCGGGCUUAACCUGGGAAUGGCAUUCAAGACUGGUUAGCUAGAGUCUUGUAGAGGGGGUAGAAUUCCGAUGUGUAGCGGUGAAAUGCGUAGAGAUGUGGAGGAAUACCGGUGGCGAAGGCGGCCCCUGGACAAAGGCUGACGCUCAUGUGCGAAAGCGUGGGGAGCGAAACAGGAUUAGAUACCCGGU